rnacentral:rRNA from 1 species
GAUGAACGCUAGCGGCAGGCUUAAUACAUGCAAGUCGAGGGGCAUCAAGGUACACGAAAGUGUAUUGUUGGCGACCGGCGGACGGGUGAGUAAUAGGUAGGUAACCUACCUCAUACUGAGGCAUAGCUGGGAGAAAUUCCAGGUAAUUCCUCAUGAGGUUAUAUGACACAUGUGAUAUAAUCAAAGGUAUCGCAAGGUACUGGUAUGAGAUGGGCUUACUGACCAUUAGCUAGUUGGUGAGAUAAGAGCUCACCAAGGCGAAGAUGGGUUUAGGGGUUUUGAGUAGAGGAGACUCCCCCACAUUGAACUGAGAUACCGGUCAGACUCCGUACGGGAGGCAGCAGGUAAGGGAAUAGUUGGGCAAGUGGGGCGGAAGCCGUGACCCAGCCAUCGCCGCGGUGAAGGAGACGGCCUUAGUGGUUACGUAACUUUCUUUACUAUGCGACUUAACUAGUAUUUACGAAGAUUAAUUCUAAUAAGAAUUGUAGCAUAGACAAAAACGCGACCGUACC